AUCCACACUCCUCAACCAGGUUUUCUUUUGUAGAGAGAGAAAGAGAGAACAAGAAAGGCAGAAAACCUCAUCCCCAAAUACCCAUUUCAUCGCCUCCCUUUUAGAUCUGAGACCUACAACGCUCUCUCCUUCAAAUUCAUGUCCGCCACCGCUACAAUAACCACCGCUGAAACCAGUUGCAACCAUCUUCCAUCGAUCUUGCCGCUAGGGUUCAACCAUUUCCCACCGCUGAAACAGUUGCAACCAUCUUCCAUGGAAAAAAAUGAUGUUCGUACCCCAAGCAUGUGUUGCUUCAGAUGUGCAGGACAAUUGGGUCCUAACAAAUUUUAGCCAAAACAGGAAUCGGUAGUUGGUGGUGUACAAACAAUGCAUAGAAUAGUAGAGGACAAGUUUCACGAUGGAUAUGUUAUGCAGGGAAAAUUUUACAUAUACGACUUUUGGAUGACGUUAUAAGCUCCAUCAAUGGAUGGUAUAUGGAGCGUGGCCUUUUUGGCUUGGUUUCAGGGGUUGAGUUUCAUUGUGGGGGAAUUUUGAGGUAUUUCUAGGGCUAGCUGUUUAAGGUUCAUAUAACCUUAUGAAUCUUGAAUGACUCAAUUUGGUUAAAGUCUAUCGGGAACAAGUUAGGAAUGGCGCCUUCGACUGAAGAACGGGCCGCUGAAGCCAAGUUUAACGAGGAUGGAAAUACAGGUUUGAAGAAUCAGGCUAAGUAAGAUGAUGAAGCAUUUGCAGUUGUUGAAGGGGGAUUGUGCGGUAUGCAAGUCUACAUGCUCAUCAUGGUAGGACAGGAAGCUAGAAGGAUGAUUUGGAUCCUUGCGUAUGUGGGGUAUGCAAGUGUACAUGCUCAACUUUACUUACCUCCAAAAUAUGGAUUGUCUCGAGAGAUAUUGCAAUGGGCCCUGUGGCAGUGGUCUCUCUGUUGCUUGGAACUUUGUUACGAGAUGAGGUUGAGCCAAAUACACCUGAAUAUUUAUGUCUUGCUUUCACUGCAACAUUCUUUGCUGGAGUCACUCAAGCUGCACUCGGGUUUUUCAGAUUGGGUUUUCUGAUCGAUUUUCUGUCACAUGCUGCGAUUGUGGGGUUCAUGGGAGGAGUGGUCGUUACCAUUGCGCUUCAGCAACUUAAAGGGUUGUUAGGGAACAAGGAUUUAAAAAAAAGACUGAUUUAGUUCAUGACCAACUUACUAAACUAAAACUUGUGUUCAUAAAAUAGAAAAUGGAAAAUAGAACUGACAAGACUAAAACUUGUGUUCAUAAAAUAGAAAAUGGAAAAUAGAACUGACAAGUGUGAAAACAUUAUUAUUUUAAAUUAUUUGGUUUUAUGUUA